rnacentral:rRNA from 1 species
UACGUAGGGGGGCUAGCGUUGUCCGGAUUUAUUGGGCGUAAAGAGCGUGUAGGCGGCCAGAUAGGUCUGCUGUGAAAACUCGAGGCUCAACCUCGAGACGUCGAUGGAAACCGUCUGGCUAGAGUCCGGAAGAGGAGAAUGGAAUUCCUGGUGUAGCGGUGAAAUGCGCAGAUAUCAGGAGGAACACCAGGUGGCGAAAGGCGGGUCUCUGGGCCGGAUGACUGACGCUGAGGAGCGAAAGACGUGGGGAGCGAACAGG